GGCUGAGCCAUCACCCAGCACCAGGUUCCGGUGAGGACCAUAGCAACUCCUGUCCGCACUUUGCAUACUUACAUUAGUUUCCUGAAGAAUUCUCCCAUUGUGCCUUGCCCGACAUCUGAGAGCAGUGAGUGGUCUGCCUGGCAUUGAAAAGGAAAAAGUUUCUGGAAGACCCACCUGGGGCUAGAAGCCUUGAAGUUGCUAAUCGCCCCAGAGCACUGCUGCUUGACCACCUACCAGCUGUGAUUUCUGGGGUCUUGAAGACACAAAUAGCUCGAAUCUGAAAUAAAACCCCGGCAGCCCUCCUCCCCUGGCCCUCAGCGGCGGCCUGUCUGAUUGGAUGCCUCCCACAGCCCUGAAGACCAGAGCUUCAAGGAGGAAGCCGCCAGGGACACGCUGAGUCCUCGCUUCUUAAAGUGCGCCCCUGGGGCCAGGCAGCCCCUUCCCUUUGGGGAUUUGAACCCCUGGAGCCCGUUUCCCUACAAGGUGGUCCUUCUCUGGCCAGUGAAGCCUGCCUAAUGCACCCUGGGGAGGCUGAUGCCUUAAGCAAAGUGGCUCGAGCCGGCCCUGCUGAAGCUGAUCCCAGCUGGCCUGGAGCGGGUCCAAUGCAAAUGUCACCACCUCUGCAAGUACCCCUGUGACUCCUCCAGAGAAGACUGUGAGCUCCAAAGACAUCAUCAUUGUGAGGAGAGUAGCUUUGCGCUCAGUUACCUGCCACAGAAAGGUUCUGCUGCCAAGCAGGGAGUUGAAGGGAUCUGCAGACAGCCUGCCUGUGUUGGUCUGGAAGCCCAUGCUCUUUGAGGGUCAGGAGAUUCAAGACCAGGUGGCAUCUUCUGCAGAGGACACCACUUUCCAAAGACAUGGCUUGGUUCUUCAUAGAUGAUAGGUCUUGGGGGAGCUCUGGGAAAAACUAAGGCAAACUUGGUUGCUACAUUUCUUGGAGAAAGAGGAAAGGGUGGGUUAGAACUAGCUCGAUGUAGGGUAGAAAAGAGGAGGUAUGUUAGCUGGAGUUGCAGUUGCAGUAAUGGCAGUGAGGAAUGAAUGUUCUUUGAUUCUGAAGGCAUCACAAGGAGAGAAGAGCUGAGGGCAGUAGGAGGAUCCCAUCCUGCAAUAUGGAGACCCAGAAGCCACUGCCCCUUGGCCCUUCUAGAAUUCUGACCAAUACUAACAUUUGCCCAGCUUGACUAAACUUUAGACAGGUUUCUUCCUGAUGAUAGGCCCUUGGCCUCCUUUUCCUUAGAGCAUUUCCUCUAGAAAACUUGGAUUUGUAAAUUUUUUCUCUGCCCCUUUGAGAUGUAAAUCUCUCAGUCUCUUGCUAGUUUUACAAUCCAGGAAUGUUUUUCUCAAGGACCUGGGAGGACCCUUUGAAAUGUAAUCAUCAAGAAAGAUUGUACCUUGUCUCUCAGUCUCUGUGAGAGGAUGGGAGCCUAACAUUUAUAAGUGCGAAUUAGCAACACAGACAGCCUAAUCAUAUUAACUAAUUCCCCCACCCCCUUAAUGUCCUUGGGUAGUUCUCACUAGCUUAUCCCAGCACUUCAAAACCAUCCCGCCUUUUGUUUCAGGAGAGUUAAGUUCAAUCUCUCUCCCCUACUGCAACUACCUUGAGUAAAG
rnacentral:lncRNA from 1 species